UACGAAGGGGGCUAGCGUUGCUCGGAAUCACUGGGCGUAAAGCGCACGUAGGCGGAUUGCUAAGUCAGGGGUGAAAUCCUGGAGCUCAACUCCAGAACUGCCUUUGAUACUGGCGAUCUCGAGUCCGGGAGAGGUGAGUGGAACUGCGAGUGUAGAGGUGAAAUUCGUAGAUAUUCACAAGAACACCAGUGGCGAAGGCGGCUCACUGGCCCGGUACUGACGCUGAGGUGCGAAAGCGUGGGGAGCAAACAGG
rnacentral:rRNA from 1 species